GACGAACGCUGGCGGCGUGCUUAACACAUGCAAGUCGUACGGUAAGGCCCUUUCGGGGGUACACGAGUGGCGAACGGGUGAGUAACACGUGAGUAACCUGCCCACAACUUUGGGAUAACGCUAGGAAACUGGUGCUAAUACUGGAUAUGUGCUCCUGCUGCAUGGUGGGGGUUGGAAAGCUCCGGCGGUUGUGGAUGGACUCGCGGCCUAUCAGCUUGUUGGUGGGGUAGUGGCCUACCAAGGCGGCGACGGGUAGCCGGCCUGAGAGGGUGACCGGCCACAUUGGGACUGAGAUACGGCCCAGACUCCUACGGGAGGCAGCAGUGGGGAAUAUUGCACAAUGGGCGCGAGCCUGAUGCAGCAACGCCGCGUGCGGGAUGACGGCCUUCGGGUUGUAAACCGCGUUCAGCAGGGACGAAGCUUUUUGUGACGGUACCUGCAGAAGAAGCACCGGCUAACUACGUG
rnacentral:rRNA from 1 species